GGAGCCGGGGGGUUGGCCCGGGAAGGCCUGGGGCUCCCGUCUCCCGGCCUCGGACCCGGCGCUCAGUCUGCGCGGAGGAAGCCUGGCAGGGAGCUGCGGGCAGGAAGCGGGGCUGGGGGCGGCAGGGACACGCAGCUCCACGCCGGCGCCGCUCUGGGCCCCCUCCUCCUCCUCCUCCAUCGCUCCAUCCCAAAGCGGGUCGCCGUGAGCCUUGCUCGAUUCUCUCUCUCUCUAAACACGUUCUGUCAGGGACUCGUCUCUGGCUCUGCAAACCGUGAGCUAAAGGGGCUGAUCGGGGAGGCGCGGGGGUUUCUCUCCUGGCAGAAGGAAGGAAAGGGCUUGGACUGGAAUGGACGGCCCUUGCGGGAGCCCAGGCUUCGGUGCUUCUGGAGGUGGCAGGGAGGAGGAGGAAGAGGAGGUCUGGGCAAGCGGGACGAGCCUGAUAUGGCCAGCAGUCUGCUCUUUGGCCACCCCAGAGCACAGAACCUCUUUUCAGGAAAAUUGUGACUGCCUUAGGGCCCCUGGUUUUUCUCCUGUGAAGUGAUGUCAGACACCAGCAAAUAAAUCAUGCUUUGACCAGAAAUGUUGUAAUAAAGUGCUGUGAAAGAUGUGAAUCCUGUUCUUGGCAAGAAAAACACAAAGAAAGAUUUCCACAGGAAAACUAGUAUUUUCUUAUGUUUAUUGUCGUAAAAAGGAUGGAGUUAUGUAGUGUGUGUGUUUUAAGUUGCCUGUCAAGUUAGGACAGCUACAUAAAUUAAAUAAGAACCAGGUGGUUUGAAUCCUGGAGUCUGCUUCUGGAAACCAGGAUUCAAAUUUUCAUUCAGCCAAGGAAACUCACUGGGUGACAUUGGGUUCAAAUUCGGUGGGCGGGAUGAGUUCCCAUCUGUCAGCUCCAGCUUCCCAUACAGGGACAUGAGAGAAGCCUCCCACAGGAUGGUAAAACAUCUGGGUGUCCCCUGGGCAAUGUCCUUGCAGACAGCCAAUUCUCUCACACGAGAAGCAAGUUGCAGUUUCUCAAGUCGCUCCUGACACACAAAAACAUUGGGCAGGACACAGUCUCUCAGCCUCAGAGAGGGCAAAGGCAACCUUCCUCUGAAUAAAUCUUGCAAAUAAUAACUCUUGGUGGGUUAAUUUUCUGUCUCCAUAAGUCAGAAAUGCCUUGAACACACAGAAUAAAAAUGAAAGCAUGCCAUAUAACCCAGAAUAUCAAGGCAGAAAAAUCCCCCAAUAUCUGCUUUGAACGGGGUUAUCUGAGUCCACACUACCAUAUAUCCUAGUUCAAAGCAGAUCAUGUGGGAUUUUAUUCAGCUGUGUGGAAGGGGCCUAAGAGGUGGUUUUGCCAGUUUGAAAUAAGGCCUCCAGCCCCUGGCAUUCAUUGGCAGUCUCCCAUCUAAGUGCUCAUAUAUGACAUUUUAACAGAGCUUUUUCCCAGGACAAGUGAAUGAAGGGAGUAUUCACCCCCCCCCCCCUUUACUAGGAAAUGUAUCAACAUUGUAUUUGGAAAUUUACCAAAUGCUUUUGUCUACAAUAUAAUCCAGUAUGCUUAUAGCUGGUUACUGUUACAUUAACAUUUUUCUUCUGCUGUCCUAAUCAGAUAUACACAAUUGUGACAUUUUUAAUACUUUGCAACAUUUUAAAGGACUUAUUUAUUACAUGGAUGAAGAUGGAUGAAGCAUGCCUUAAAAAUAAAGGAAUAGAAGGGGGAGGUAAAAAACAUUUAACACAAUAAGAAAUGAUGAUACACUUUCUGUGGAAGCUAUUUGUGAAUCUGGCAUUGCUGUGUCCAAAAUGAAAAAUGUUUUCUGGGCUUGUGCGCAAUAAAGAUUUAUUUGGCAAAUAUGGUGUGAUAUCAUCUGCAAAGGACCCUUCAACAUGGAUCCUUUAUCUUGAAGGGAGAGGGGAGAAUCAGCUUCGUGGUGGCUGAAUGAUACAUGGAUUUGGGUUAACACAGUUCAAAAACAUCACCAAAAGUUGUUUCCCUGCAUUUUGGGUGACUAAAUAGUUCUGUCACUUCCUAUUCAGGACUUGGCUGUGGCUGCUUACAGGGCCAUCCCACUUUCCCUGGGCUCAGGCAGCCUAGGGAUAGGGGACAGCACUUACCUUGUCCCAUUGUUUUUGAGUGGUAUCCACCAGACACAAAGAUGGCAUUUCAUCACUUGGCACCUAGAGUGAUGUUAUCUGGAAUGAUAAGGUGAUCAGAGAAGGAAAGAAUGAAAGGAGGGGGUGAUUCUUUCGGUCCCCUGUUCUCCUUGCAUUGCUUUGCCAAUCUGGGUAUCAUUGCUACAGGUGCCAAGCACUGUUCAGUGUCAUUUUCAUGCCCAGCUGGCAGUGCAUAGCACAGAACAAUGUGCACAAGAUAAGGAUGAUGGUCCAGUAGGAAUGAACAAGGUCUGCACUGCUUCACCAUCUAGCCACCAGGCUGGCUCAGAAAGGUGCAGUGCCUGAACCAAGUCCAUGGCUAGCUAUGUGGAUUAAAAUGAUGCUGAUGCAGAGUAUCCCACUCCAGUUCAGUAUCACCAUAAAUGCAGUCUUAGUAAUGAAUCCAGAAUUAAUUAAACCCACUAGAUAAGUUUUUACAAAUCUACCUAACUUUACCUCUGAGUAAGGUAAAGGAGAUCCCCCAUCUGAACGAAUUCUGUAAAAAAAAACCCCGUGGUCGAUUUUCCUUAUAAUCUGAAGUGAUGUGAAGACACAGAACAACAAUAUGAGUGAAUACAGAGCAGUCACAGAACCAUAACUCUAGGUUACAAAUGCAUAAGUACAAUACAGAAUGCCAGUCCGAAUUUGCACAAUUUCAUAACCAUUGGCUGCACACAGCUAAUGGAUGUUCUAAACUUUUCUAGUCUCAAAUUAUGGGCACAAAAAAGUAUCCUGGUCCAGAGUAUUAUGUUCCGUAUGUGAGAGAGAGUGGUUUUCGAGCACAGGAGAGGUUGCAGAUUUGAGAGAUGCUUGAUAGCUACUAGCACAGACUUGAAUUGAGGAGGCUUCCAAGAAUAUGUUCAUAACAACUGGCCAAAAUACAAUGUGCAGUUAUUCUAUCUCUUCCCUCCUUAAUAUAAAUACUUUUCUGUUGUAAGACAAAAAUGGAAAAUGAUGUGGGAAAACAGGAGGGCUGUUAAUGGGUUAUUUGGAUCCCCCUACCUGGUGAAAUGUUAUGAAUGAUGAACCAGGAUUGUGCAAUUUAGAAAUUAAAAAAUUCUCUGGAACCAC